rnacentral:lncRNA from 1 species
CUGAUUAUAAGGUACUUUGUGAAGUUCAGGUAUGUUGUUAGUGCAUUUUUAAAGAUACAUUCCUCACAACAAUGCUUUCUUUAUGGUUGUUGCUUAUGGAGAUUCAAUACUUACAUAAUGACGUUUUUGUGCCCUAGAGUUACGUAUGUUUUUAAACCAAAUAUACAGGCAUUUGGCUUGCUGAAAUAAGAGUAGAAGCAUUUACUGUGUUUUUCUUUCUUAUUUUUUUAGGUGAGAGAAUGCUUUGACAAAUUGCCUGGCAGAUCGCUAACUGCAAAAAACAUCCGAGUUGCCAUCAGCCAUUACAGCAAACUUAAGAUUUUUCUGGAAGCUCCUUCCUUUUCCUCCUGCUCUUCUGGAGCAAGAAGCCAUUGGGUUCCCUCAAAGGCAAGCCUUGCAGGGUUGAAUAAUUCAAAACAAAUAUGGAAAGAUACUUUGUGAGUUCAUAGACGUCUAACAUGAUAGUGAGUAUUUCAGGUUGCUUUUUCAAGAUCAGCCUCGUAAUGUCUGUAAGUCGUUGCUAUUUAGUGGCUUCA